UUGGUAUAUAUGUAUCUUUCUAGUAACUCUUCUGAUACUCUCUUUGAGGUUGCUAUCUUGUUUCUCGUUGUUGUGUGAAGCAGUUUUUGUUAAUCGCCUACAUGUCCUUAGUUUAAGGGCCUCAGAAAGCGCUUGGUCAACUUGGUGUCUUGGUGAGCUGCAAGCGCUCUUCCAUAGUCUGCACGUGUAGAACUGGUUGGACCCGAUGUUCCACAACAUAUGUGAGUCGUACAUGUCAAAAACUUCUUAAUAUCUUCGACUGUUAUGGGACGGAGAGAUGACCUCCCUUUAAUUUGCAGCUAUGCACCUUGCAUGGAAGAAGACUGUGAAUAUACAUAUAUUACAUAGGGCACCUGAUUUUUAUUCAUUUGAGCCAUGUGUGUAAAAACACUUUAGGAUUUGAUAAAGAGAUCAAAGUUCCAGCGGUAUUCUCUGAUUACUGUGGAGAAGCUUGUCAUCUUGCGGCUUGUUGCG